GACGAACGCUGGCGGCGUGCCUAAUACAUGCAAGUCGAGCGGACUGAUUAAGAGCUUGCUCUUAUGACGUUAGCGGCGGACGGGUGAGUAACACGUGGGCAACCUGCCCUGUAGAUCGGGAUAACACCGAGAAAUCGGUGCUAAUACCGGGUAAUAUCUGAGAUCACAUGAUCUUAGGUUAAAAGAUGGCUCCGGCUAUCACUACAGGAUGGGCCCGCGGCGCAUUAGCUAGUUGGUAAGGUAAUGGCUUACAAAGGGGCCGAUGCGUAGCCGACCUGGGAGGGUGAUCGGCCACACUGGGACUGGGACACGGCCCAGACUCCUACGGGAGGCAGCAGUAGGGAAUCUUCCGCAAUGGACGAAAGUCUGACGGAGCAACGCCGCGUGAGUGAUGAAGGGUUUCGGCUCGUAAAGCUCUGUUGUUAGGGAAGAAACAGUACCGAACGAACUAGGUCGGUACCUUGACGGUACCUAACCAGAAAGCCACGGCUAACUACGUG
rnacentral:rRNA from 1 species